AUUGAACGCUGGCGGCAUGCUUUACACAUGCAAGUCGAACGGUAACAGGCCUUCGGGUGCUGACGAGUGGCGAACGGGUGAGUAAUGCAUCGGAACGUACCCAGAGGUGGGGGAUAACGCAGCGAAAGCUGUGCUAAUACCGCAUGUGAUCUGAGGAUGAAAGCGGGGGACCGAGCAGCAACGUUUGGCCUCGCGCCUUUGGAGCGGCCGAUGUCGGAUUAGCUAGUUGGUGGGGUAAAGGCCUACCAAGGCGACGAUCCGUAGCUGGUCUGAGAGGAUGACCAGCCACACUGGAACUGAGACACGGCCCAGACUCCUACGGGAGGCAGCAGUGGGGAAUUUUGGACAAUGGGCGCAAGCCUGAUCCAGCAAUGCCGCGUGCGGGAAGAAGGCCUUCGGGUUGUAAACCGCUUUUGGCAGGAACGAAACGGUGUCCGCUAAUACCGGGCGCUAAUGACGGUACCUACAGAAUAAGCACCGGCUAACUUCGUG
rnacentral:rRNA from 1 species